AUUUUUGCACCACAAGAACUGGAAGUCCAGAGAAGAGCCGGAGAGGACAAUUCCUCUUUGCUGCCAGGGUUGGAUCCCCAGAGCUCCUGGCCUCACCCCCACCACUGCACUUCCCAUCCCAGCUUCCCUCACACAGAAGUGGUCAAAGUCACCCACUCCAAUCUGAAAAGCAUCCAGGAUUAUGAAAAAAAUUUGGGAACACCCCACCAGCAGCCCUCUGGCUGAAUCGCCACAGCUCCAACCUGGCUGGGAUGCUCAUGGGAUAAAAAAAGCCAGGGAGAGUUUGGAAUUUCCAGAGAAAUCUCCACCUGUUGCUGUUAUUUAAUGCAGAAUCAAGGGGAAAACAAACCUGUCUGUAAAGAACAAAUAUGGAAAUGGAAUUUCUGUAUUUGGAAAGAGAGGGACUAUGUCCAUGAAAAAUAUUAGCAAUAAUUAGUCCCACAUCACUGCUGUGAGCUGCAGAUACUGAUAGUGUGGAUCUCCCACCCAUCAGAAUGACUUGUAGUUAUCAGCAGCUCCAGGGUUUUCCUGCCCUCCAGCAAACACAUUUUUCCUUCUUCUGGAGGUCUGGUCAUGUCCUGUUUAAUUUAAUUGUUGAGAGAAAUUAAAAUAUUUCUUACAUCUGCAUCAGCAGCUGGUAACAGGGCAGGAAUUCAGCAAGCUGUGAAAAUAUUAAAAAAUACAUAAACAUAAAAAUAUAUACAUAUAAAAAAUAAGAGCUUCCUCCCUGUAUUCCCUGAGUACAUGAGGUUGCUUCCAAUGCACAUUUUAUUUUAAGGUGAGUUAUUUUGUUGCCAUAGUGACAUCAUUCAGGUUUCCAACCGCUGCCGUGUUGGUUUUCUCCCAGGCAAGACUUGUCACAAGCAGUCAGCAUCUCCAGCCCCUUCCUGGCCAGCAGCUUCCCACAGGGCUGCAGGAUUCCCUGGAAUUGCAGCCUGCAGGAUUCCCUGGAAUUCCAGCCUGCAGGAUUCCCUGGAAUUCCAGCCUGCAGGAUGAGCUGCCACCACUCCCUGCUAAGGGACAGGGGGACACAGGACCUGGGGGAGUCAGAGAGGAGAGGCAGGCAUGGAAAAACUCCAACCAAAAGGAUUUUCCUCUGCUCAUUCCUUAUCCUUCCUCCUCUAUGUGUGCAGUGGGCUGUGAGAAGGUCAAAGAACCCGGUAGCUUUAUUAAUUAGCACUAAUUAAUACACUCAACUGCCUCUGGUGUCAUUGUGCUCAUCUACCCCAGGCCCUGACAUGGGCAAGAAUAAACCAUAUUUGCCCCCAAAAGCUUAAAAUCUCUGUAAAUCCUAUUUCUUGCUACACAGGUGUCUCAUGGAUUUUAUUACCAAGAAAACUACACUAAAAUGAAGAUUUUAUACACAAAGAUCUGUAAUUUUGUUAAUAAAGAUGCAAAGAAAAGGGAUUCCCUGUUAAGGGAAUAUUUGUAGGGUCAUUUGGGUCAAAUGGGCUCUGUAAGUAUAUUGGAAAUUAAUAUUUAAUUUUAUGUAUUUUUAUAGUAAAUAUUUAAAUUCUUUGUGUUAUUAUGAUGCUAAAGUCUUUUAAUGGGAAAUGAUUUUUUUUUUUUUUGGCUCUAAUUUAUUUAAUUAAAGCAGGCAGAAUGUGCCUCAUUAGCCUAAAACCUAUUUCAUGGGUGCCAGGCCCUAUAUGUGACUGAGAGCCUGGGUGCCUGUUCUACUGCAAGGCCAAAAGGAGCUCAAAAAAAAAACCCCAAAAAACUGUUUGAAAGGUUUUCUAUGUUUUUAAUUUUAAAUAAACCAUUUCCAGAUUAUCAAAUCAAGGCUACAUUCCCAUGGCAGACCUGAGCCCUGUGUAAGCUUUCCCAGGAUUGCAGCAUCUGGCUAAAUCCAGCCCAGAUUAAAGCAAAGCUUUCAUUGCACAAACUCUCCCUGAAAGGAGCAGGAUGCUCCUGAUGCCGGGAAAAGGACAGAGCUGGGAAUUGCAGGCAGAGGAUAAAGAAUGCCAGAGGCAGCAGCAGGAUCCAGAGGAGAGGAGGAGAGGAGGAGAGGAGGCAAGGCCCUGUGCUGUACGAGGGACUGGUGACUUCUCUGCAGAGGGAAUUUGAGAACCAGAGCCAUUCCAGCCUGAGAUGACGCCAGCUCCCUGAUGGAAACCCUCCGGAACACAGCCUGAACACACCAGUCCACAGCUCAGCAACAGCCUUCACAAAAACCCUCUUUGCUUGCAGAGGUUUUAGCCAAAGCCAUUGUUUUAACACCCUUUAAAAAUAUUUAUUUCUGAAUGUCUUUGACUGGGGGAAGGGUAGAAGGGGCUCCCAAUUUAAUUCCAUAAUCCUCCUAAGCCUUGCUUAAUGCACUCACUCUGCCUGGCCUCUGUGAAUUUUACAGUGGUGUUUUGGGUGGUUGCAGCACUGCACUGGAAAAUGUCCCAUCAUUUAUUUUGCAGCUAUUUGAGGGAAAUGAUUCCCAGGCUGGAAGCCUGGUUGUUAAAUCCAUAUUGCCAAAGGAAACAAACUCUGUCACCCAGAUGGGGCUGGACCUCGGGGCUGCCACGUGGAUUCCUGAAUGAGGGAAGGAGUGCUGCAGCCUGGUUUGCUCUCCACAUGUUCAAGAAAGACAAAACUACGCUUUCAAGAGUCUUGAUGCAUCUCACGAGCCUUUGGUUUCCCUGAAUCCUUCCCUCAGUUCUCAGCUCCCAGGAUUUCUCCAAAAUCUGCUUGAAACCUGCACUAAGAGGACAGUGGCACUCUCAAGGGGAUUUUUCUCUCUCCCAUUUCAGGAUGCACUGUGUCUCCCAUGGAAAUGUUCCUUGGCCAUUCCAGAGGGAUCCUGGAGUCAACAAGGACAAAAUACAAGGGCAUGGGGUCUGGCAGUCAUAGGCAGCAGCAAAGUCAAGGUGGAAGAUGGGUUUGGAAGAAAGUCAAGGUCUGAAAGGUGUUACCUGUAACAAUCUUAGUCAGCAAGCAAGAGGAAGGAGCAAAGAGAGGGAAAAAAAUUAAACGACUGAGAGCUACGGACUGCACAGAGCAGGAGGGAGAAAAGUGUCCAGAGACAUCAGGAAACACAUGGAGAGAUGAGGCUCCUCAAUAGGAAAUGGCAGAUCCUUCAGACUUCAAGGACAACGUGGAGAACGAACAGAAGAAGCUUUUUUCCACCUCUACAGUCAUAUUCCACACUUGUGCCAUUAUAAUCCAGGGAUAACAAAGAAAACCUCAGGGAAAUAAGGACUGAUGUCACAGUUCUGUUCUUAUGGAUACCAUGUGCCUUCACAGCUUCACCUCCCACCUGGGGUGGUUUUCCAGCAGAAACUCAACCACACAGAACUUGGGGACUUCAGAAACUCUAAACAGACUUUUAUUGGUGUAAGAGAACUUAAAGGGAACAGCCAACAGGGCAAGAAUUUGCAGGUGUUGAAAACCACCUCACUGGAAAUUAAAUUAAAUUAGUCCUUCAAUCAAAAAAAA